rnacentral:tRNA from 1 species
GGAGAGGUGGCUGAGUGGCUGAAAGCGCGCCCCUGCUAAGGGUGUAAAGGAGAAAUCUUUUCGAGAGUUCGAAUCUCUCCCUCUCCGCCA